UAUAAGAAGUUAAAGUGAGGAUCCUUCUGGUGUUUGUAGAAUUGGAAACUUGGAUUUGGUUUGGCCAACCUACCAUACACAAAAAGUUGUGGCACAGUUAUAAGUCUUGCACCGCCCAAAUCUGGAUGGAGAAAAAAUGUGAAUGAAUGAAAAGAAAGGGCUAUCUGGCAAUUAAUUAGCAUGAGAGGAAUUUUUGUAACUCAAGGACUUUGAUUUUGGUUUAACCAUGGUUAGUCUGUUAAAUGCAUGGUCAAAAAGUACUCCUUUUCUUUUCUUCUUUAGAAAAAUGACGUUUUUGCCCCCUCGAGCAGGGUUAGGUAACGUUGGCAACGUUUUAUAAGUUCGUGAAUUUUCAAACUCGACAUUUUGACCUCCAAGUUUGAAAAUGAAUUAUUUGAUAUAUUUGGUA